AAUUCUUGACAUCAUGUCUAGCAUUAUGUAGAACUUUCACUGAGAGCUCGGUAAUAAAAUCUUUAGCCCCAGGACCUACGGCAACUGUUCGAUCUGGUGGGAUAAUCACCUUCAACUUUCCAUUGUCAUUUUCCUUACGUUUCUUUUGGGUUGAAAGCCCUGUUGUCUUUCCUCUUCCCUUUCUCUUUUUUCUUUAACAAUACAUA
rnacentral:lncRNA from 1 species